ensembl:lncRNA
GUGGGACCGGAACUUCCGGGGCUGCUCCCUUAGCGUCUGGGGUUGGGCGGGAGAUACAGAGGGCAUCGGGCCGCUGGCAGCCACCGAAAUAGGCCUAAGGGAUUGUGAAGAGGCGCGGGGCCAGCGGACAAGCCUGCAGUGCCCCCCGGCUUUGCGCGGGUUUUCUGGAUUGUGUAAGCAAUGAAUGAAACUGUCUUCGUAAAGCACGUUUUUUCACUCUUUUCCCCCAGGGUUCCUCCAGAAAAUGAGAACUAUCCAUUCCACGGCAAUUGGAUGAUUGAUUCCUCCUGAUGAGUUUUCCAGGUGACCCCAGUUUGAGUGACCCAGGUAUGUCCGGCACGGAGUCAGUGCCCCAGGGUGGAGGGACGGUCUGGGGAAAGGCUCCUGUGUGGUCGAACCCGCCCCGGGGUGGGUGCAACCUCGUACCAGGCAGCCCCACCUUGACCUAGAGUAAAUUCCCAAGGGAAGCCUUCCCUGGGUUUUGAAUUUGCAGUAACAGGUGUGAACAUUCUAGCAGCAGUUUGAUGAUCAUGUAUGAUACUGCAAACAGGACCUACCCAGCGAGGAGAAAAACAUUUUGUUUGUUGGUUUGUUUUUGUGGUACUGGCGACCGAACUCAGAACCUUGCACUUACUAAGCAGGCACUGCGCCACUGAGCUACAUCCCCAGCCCGAGAAAAACAUUUUGAACCGGAGACCAAGUAGUUUUCAAAAUCCUGUAAACCGUAUUGAUGUCAUUUGUUUCCUUUAAACGUUUAUUGAUAUUUUUGGUCAGGCACCAUACCAAGUAUGAGGGAUAUAGGGACGAGUAAAACAGUCACAGCUCUUGUUCUCAGGUAGCAAUAGCCCAGCUGGGGAAACAGGGUUAAAUGAUCACACGUAAGAGGGUGUAAUUCAAGCCAAGCUGAAUGCUCUGAAGGAAAGCACUGCCCUCUAGGGAUCUAUGUUGCAAAGAGCCUGGUGGAAACUGGAAAGCUUUCCUUAGGAGGAGACUUGAGCUGGACUCUGUUGGAUGAGUAGGAGUUGGCUGGCAAAACGGGACAGUGUGUGCGAGGGCCCUGUGGCCUUGCAAGUGUGGCUGGUGGAGGAACUGAAGGAAACCACUAGCUCAGAAGGCAAGCUGGAGAACAGUGUAGAACAAAGCCCAAAAGAUGGGGAAGGGCCAGACUGCACAGGGCCUGUGGCUCAUGUGAGGAUUUUGGGUUUUUGUCCUAAAAACUGUGAGAUACCACUGCAGGUUUUAAGUAAAAAGAAGAUAUGUGUAACUCUGAUUUCAAAAGACUGCUGUGUAAGAACAAAAGUGCUGUCCAACAGAACUCCCAGUACUGGUGGAAAUGGGCUGUCUGGGCUGUUUAGAGCAGCCACAGUGACUGAGCAUUUGAAGUGUAGCUGGUGUGGCUGAUGUGCCGAGUUUUUAAAUUUUAACUCAAAUGUUAAUACCCAAACAUGACUGGUGGCCUCUGGGUGGGACAGUACAGGUCUGCACGUGUUGGAAGGAGUGGUGACCUUUGGUAGUGACAGAGACAGCGUCCAGUUCCCAGAGAACCUCAUAACAAUUUCUCCUUGGAAACAGUGGAAUUUUUAACGUUUAUUUUCUUGGCUGUAGUACAACCUGCUUCUCCAUGAAGCAGCAUCCUUCCUUCUCCUGGCUGUUCAUUUGGUUGUCAGCACCCAGAUCGAGAUGUCCCUAUCCACAGCAAAUUUAAGUACUUAAAGUGGCCACAUUCUCUGUCAGACACCUUGGGAGGAAUGUAAAGAAAAGUACAGUCCUCCCUGGGGAUGUAUCUCAGUGGUACAACCUGUGGUCAGCAUAGGCAAAGCCCUGGGUUCAAUCUCCGGCACCAAAAAAGAAAAGUAUGUCCAGUCCAGGCUCACGUCAAACUCAUCAUGUGGCCCAGGCUGGCCUCAGACCCACAGUGAUCCUCUCGUGUCAGCCUCCCAAGUGCUGAGAUGACAGUGUGCACCACCAUGCCUGGCUUGGUUUCAUUCUUCACCAUGUGCUCUGUGAGACGGAUAUAAAUAAAUGGAGUCCAAACCCAAAGAGUCGUUGUGCACUCUGUGAUUUCUAAGCCCAGUGGUUCUGUGUGUGUGUGGCCUCCACUGCUGAGAUACACACUCAGUAGCACU